ACUGCAUGGGUUUUUAAUGCCUUUUUCCUGACUGCUCACUUUGAGCACACCUAGCAGCUCACCUUUGUGGCAUGCAUCUGACCAUGCCAGCUCCAUGCACUCUCAGACCGAGCUACUGGACACAGGCCUGCCUGGAGCAGGCAAGAUGCCAUGGACCUCCUCACGUGGUGGGGAGGAAAGGCUGUGCAAGCAUAGCUGGAGAAACAAUCAACAUCUAGGUGGAGAUGGCACAGGGGAUGCUGCAAUGGGAACACACGAGAUGGAACAGCAGUGCCACAUAAAAGCAAAGGAACCUCGCCAGACCUACCACAAGGUGAAAAGAAAGGAAUCAGAAAUCAGAUGUUGCCCCUCAGACGGGCAGCUUUUACAAUGAAAUGCAUGCCAUACUUGGCAAUGGACACCCCCCCCCGCCCCCCCAGCACCCUGCAGGCAACUGUAGACGCUUUUUGGAGGAACCCAUUGUAGAGACUCCUGCUGUGGACAGUGAGGAGGAAGACGAUGUGGCCAGGGACUCCAACCAUGCUGCAAGCCAAGAACUAUUGCAACUCUGCCAGAGUCGAGCUAAUCUUGCCAGAUUAGCAGACGUGCCCACUCAUGAAGGGGAAGUGAGCUUGGGUAAGUGUGUAAAUGCAUUAUUCCUUUCAGUGUGUGGGGAUUUUUUGCUUUGUUUUCCUGAAACCUCAUCUUUCUGUCCCUUCCCCACCCCCGAACAACCCUCCUCCUCCCCAUUUAAAAAUUGCACCCAUUCCAUCCGCAAGCUUAGAGGAAAAAGGGUUUUGAGUUUGGUUUGCUGGUAUAAUGUCACAAAAUAAAAGGCUAGGGAAUAAAUUCAGAGAGUAGUAGGAGAGGCCAUUCACAGAUCAGUGGCCUGUACUCAGGUAGAGGUGGAACAGAGGUAGUCAGCAUCUGCUUUUAACUUCUUUUGCUUGUUGCACUAGGUGGUAGGGGCCAUGCAGAGUAGUUUGCCUAUCUGAAUAGGAAUGUUCCCAUUGCCUUGAGAGCUCCAUAGAGAACUCUCAAGAUUUCUAAGACAGCAGUGUGUUUUGUGGUUUGGUUUUUUUUGGCACUGCAAUGGAACACUUGCCCAUGCCACUCUGCAAUGGGUUAAGCUGGCACCAUUGCAGAAAACAGGAUAGUGGCAUGUGGGCCUGGGGGCUACAGGACCCCAGCUAGAGUCUCUGUGCCUUUGCCACCCUCAGGACUGAGGGGCAAAAAUCACCAGUGUCUGUGAAAAUAAUGCCUGUAUUCACUGCACUGUCCCUCUACCCACACCCAGGAAAGGACAUGGAACUGUUAUAGCUUCCAUAUAACAGAACCCCCCUCCCCUCCUCUCUGCUAGGCUGGACUCACCAUGGUUUGAGCUGCAGAGCAGCACUGUAGCAAGAGGUUUCAAACCUAGCGACAAGUAUUAAAAUUAUUUGUGGGAAUAAGGGCAUUUUGAGACUUAUUUUGCUCUGUUCCCUCCUAACAGUCAGUCUAAUAGUGCAUCUGUCUAGUUUAAUCAAUAACUUCUGGCAUGCUGGCCUUGAGCAGUGCUACCUCCAUGCCUGCUGAAUGCCUCGCCCUGACCAGGAGGAGAGAGGCAAGAACUAGGGAGGAUUUGUUCUGUGAGAUCUUCCCAUACUCUGGCCUCAGACCAGGAGCAUGGGGCUGGGAGGCUCUGCAGUGGAGUCUGCAGCUCUGGAGUGACGGCGGGUUCCACUCCUCUCUGUGGCCUCGCUUUGGGGCACGAGGCUGCAUGGUGCACAGGUGCAGACCUGCAGUCACUGCUAAUUCAAAUCUCCAAACAAGAGCGUGCAGGCACAUGCAUGUCCCAUGGUAGAGCGCACACAGGGAUAAAACACCCUGCAGAAGAACUCAAGUCACUGAAAGAUGGCUGCCCUGCUAUCGUGCCACUUGGGCUAUGGAACUUGUGUGCCGGUAGGAGAACCCCCUUCAGGAUCACAGAUCUCCUUUGACCCUAUGCUGCUGUUCUCUGGGCAUCAAUGGAAGGAGAGUUUGAUUGGAGGGUGGAAGUUGAAGGACUGACUCUCUCCCUAAACUGGUGUCUGAUUACAUGAACAAGAAGUUUAACCCACACUUUGCCUUUUGAUAAAAUCAAUGAAGGAUUCAAACUGCUGUGGGCAGGGAAAAGCUGCCAUUCCUGUUCCAGGAACUGCACUGCAAGUACUGGCUCCCUCGCUGAAACCCUGUCCUCCAGCUGUGCAGCGAGCCUCAGCCUUUCCUCCAGCCUCCAGCAUGCCACUGCUCCAGUCUUACAUCCCUCUGUUUCUGGUACUGGACCUGCUUGUCCGCUCUCUCCAGAACUUGGAGCAUAACUUCAUCAUGGUAAUGCUUCCUCUCGGAAAGGUCUGUGAAGGUACAUUGAGCCAGGGCUCAAGUUCUGGAUGUACAGCAGCCAGUGGAGGUGGGACAAGAAAGAGACAGAGUCAGAAACUUACCAAGCUCAGGGGCAACUUCUGUCUCCUCGGGGUUUGCUGCAGGCUUGGCAGCAGGGUGUUCCUCAGGGUCCGUGGGGGGCAUCAAACAGCUCUUCCCAGUACGGACCCAGAAUUUGCCGUUGAUGCUGUUCCACAAGUUGCUCUGGGACCAGUUUCAGAAACAGAGUCACUCAGCGCCUGCUGCUGGUUCCCACCAGUCCCCACGCUGGAUUCAGAUAGAGGACAUAGACCAGGUCAUCGUGCACCACAGUUGGCUCCGUGCCCGGCACCCAGCCAACUCCUCAUAAAACAAGAAUGAGGUUUUUCAGUUACCCAAGGUGCGGUUCUGGUCUCUGGUCUUCUGGUACUCGCUGUUGAGCUGUUUGAUCUGCUCCCCGCACUGCUCCCUGCUCUGGAAGAUUUAUAUGUUUAAAAUAUUCCCAAAAUGCUUUUUUCACUCCAGUUUCACAAGGAGGAAAUAUGACUGUAUGUGAAUAUCUGGAAAAAAAUCUUUUUGAAAAACCAGUUCACCACAGCCAUUCUUAAAAUAUAUGUCACGACUACGUUAUAAUUCCUACUCCACCUGUGAAAAUACCAUUUUUGUUCUACAUUUGUGAUGAUCUUGUGUUGACCCCCCAACUCAAAAUAAAUUAUUGUAAUUAGAACCAAUCACUACAAUAAAAGUGGCAGACUUGUUAAUUAACAGACUGUACAUUUUAAAUUCUGCACAUUGGGCCAAAUCUGGAGGCCAGGUUAUUCAGCCUUGAGGGGCAUAUGUUCAGCAUCAGGCUGUGUAAGUUCUUUGCACUCUGGGUAUGCUGAAUAAAGUCAGUGGAGGGGUAAUACACUCACUCUCUGGGCUGGAAUCUAUCUGCUACAAAGUCUCCAGGAUUUUGUACCCUGGAGACUUAUCCUCCAGGACUCACACUAAGAACAACAGCUUGUCUCACAUAGACCAGUAGCUGUCCAUGUACAUGAUAAGUUGCUCACACCCCCGCUGGGAUAGAUUCAGAUCAGUGGAAAUGAGGUAUUAACUCUCUGAGCCAUCUAGUCCCUUUUGAUAAAGUAGUUUACAAUAAAGCAUUUCAUUAAAGUACUUUUUUCUCUCAGUACCUAUUCCAUUCCAUUUCACCUCCAUAUUCUCUUUUGAAUACAUACAUGCUUUAAUUAUUAAACAUCUCACUCUGGUACUAUCCCACAGGGACAAGAGGCAGCCAUCAGUCGCUAAUGCCAAAAUUUGCCUUUCUUGUGCUAACCUUGCCUCACUCCCAGUGUUGAAGCCUAUUCUGUGCUGUACUGAUCAGGCCAGAAGACAGGAUCUUUAACUUGGAUUGUGGAAUUUACU